rnacentral:lncRNA from 1 species
CCGCUAAGCGCGGAAAAACCGAGAAGGGACAUGGGGCACCCCGCGCACCACAGCAUAAGCAACGAGAGCACCGAAACGAGCGGAACACGUGAGACUAAUGUCGAUCGUGAGCAUUCCCACUACCAUCGGCACGCCGCACCCAUGCAGCUUAGCACGAGAAACCCGUGAGGGGCCGACCGAGGGCACCGCGCACCGCGGCAUAAGCAUCUAGCGCACCGAAACGAGCGGAACACGUGAGACUAACGUCGAUCGAGAGCAUUCCACUUCCAUCGGCACGCCGCACCCAUGCAGCUUAGCGCGGUAAACCCGAGAGGGACCGAGGGCACCGCGCACCGCGGCAUAAGCAACUAGCGCACCGAAACGAGCGGAACACGUGAGACUAACGUCGAUCGAGAGCAUUCCACUACCAUCGGCACGCCGCACCCAUGCAGCUUAGCGCGGUAAACACGAGAGGGACCGAGGGCACCGCGCACCGCGGCAUAAGCAACUAGCGCACCGAAACGAGCGGAACACGUGAGACUAACGUCGAUCGAGAGCAUUCCACUACCAUCGGCACGCCGCACCCAUGCAGCUUAGCGCGGUAAACUCGAGAGGGACCGAGGGCACCGCGCACCGCGGCAUAAGCAUCUAGCGCACCGAAACGAGCGGAACACGUGAGACUAAUGUCGAUCGAGAGCAUUCCACUACCAUCGGCACGCCGCACCCAUGCAGCUUAGCGCGAUAAACCCGAGAGGGACCGAGGGCACCGCGCACCGCGGCAUAAGCAACUAGCGCACCGAACCGAGCGGAACACGUGAGACUAACGUCGAUCGAGAGCAUUCCGCUACCACCGGCACGCCGCACCUAUGCAGCUUAGCGCGAUAAACCCGAGAGGGACCGAGGGACCUUAGACCAACGAGGGGAUACGUCUAGCGCGACGCAACGUCCUAAUCGAGCAACGAUUGCCCAUAGCGGGGGGGCAUUACACCAUGGCCGGGUGAGACCGUUGCUCCACAUGAAGCUCAGCACACCCAACCGUGGGGAUCAGCCCCCUACACACGCACAAGCUCAAGCACAACCACCGUGCCGUCAUUGCGUGCAUCUGGUAGCUAUUGGCUCAUCGGGCUAGGCAUUCAUACAAAUACCAUCAUUGCCGCAAUGAUUGCCAGCAAAUCGCGCACAACAAAAAAAUUGCACCCGCACACUCCGCCCACGGCUCGCCGGAAAGACACCGUUGAGGUGGCCGGACCCGAUGUCCGGCACCACUCGGGACCGAUGGGGGGGACUCAUGUCCCUAGAUACCCGUCACCCACAGCGAGGCGAGGGCCUAGCAAGGCCCCCGCAAUAAGCCCCCCCAGCAAGGGGGAGUGCCCCCCCCCUUAAAGAGUCUUAUUUG